AACGAACGCUGGCGGCAGGCUUAACACAUGCAAGUCGAACGCCCCGCAAGGGGAGUGGCAGACGGGUGAGUAACGCGUGGGAACCUACCUAGUUCUACGGAACAACACAGGGAAACUUGUGCUAAUACCGUAUACGCCCUACGGGGGAAAGAUUUAUCGGAACUAGAUGAGCCCGCGUAAGAUUAGCUAGUUGGUGAGGUAAUGGCUCACCAAGGCGACGAUCUUUAGCUGGUCUGAGAGGAUGAUCAGCCACACUGGGACUGAGACACGGCCCAGACUCCUACGGGAGGCAGCAGUGGGGAAUAUUGGACAAUGGGCGAAAGCCUGAUCCAGCCAUGCCGCGUGAGUGAUGAAGGCCUUAGGGUUGUAAAGCUCUUUCAGUAGGGAAGAUAAUGACGGUACCUACAGAAGAAGCCCCGGCUAACUUCGUGCCAGCCGCCGCGGUAACAC
rnacentral:rRNA from 1 species